GGUUCCCUAAGAGUCACAUUCUCUACGAGAACUUUGCCAACUGCUUCCUGACACCCACUUCUUUUCAGGAAGGGGUCCACCUCCCUUCCUACUUCUCCCAUGCCAUUUCUCUGGCAACAGUCUUAGGAGUGGGUGGACUGCACGCGGAGAGUAAACCCACCCGAGUUGAUGUCGACUUCCCUUGAUGCCUCUAUUCCCAGUGGUGUAGGACAGUAGCCACGGGCGGUCCAUCAGCAGUGGGAGAGGCGAUCCCCACUUUUCCUCUCCAGACGGGGAGGAAAGGUGGCCCAAACCCCUGGGAUCAGCUGGAGAAGUGAUUGCUCUUCUGAGGGAUUACUCGUUUCUUCUAAAAAUUGUAUAACACCAAAUUUGGCCUAAAUAGAGAGAUAGUGAGAGCAGGAACACAAGCAGGAGGAGUGGGAGAGGGAGAAGCAGGCCUCUCACCGAGCACGGAGCCCGAUGUGGGGCUCGAUCCCAGGACCCGGGGAACAUGACCUGAGCUGAAGUAGAUGCUUAACGACUGAACCACCCAGGUGCCGCAAGCACUGUUUUUAAUAGUAAAACAUUACUGUUCUAAACAUUGUUUAGAAACAACCCAAAUGUCUAUCCAAAGAAGAUUGGUUAAAUAAACUCUGGUAUAUCUCUAUGCAGCUGUAAACAAAAACAAACACAAAAUGAGGCGCGCUCUCUGUGUACUGAUAUGGAAAGAUCCCCAGAGUAUAUUGUUAAUUUAAAAAGCAAGGCACAGAACAGUGAAUAUAAUAUGCUUUUAUGUAAGAAAGGGGGGAAAUAAGUACAUAUAUUCACUUAUAUAGAAACACUAUACUUAUACACUAUACUUAAACACUUAUAAAGAAACACUAUAAGAAUACACAAAAAGUAAUAAAAAUGAUUUUACUAUAUAGAGAGUGGAGUGCGGACAAGGUGAAUAGAGGCAUAGUUAUUUUUUAGGGUAUUUUUUUUUAACAGAAGAAAAAAGAUUAAUACAAAGAAUGUAUGUGACUGAGUUUUACACCAUUGUCAAACAGACCCUCCAGAAAGUGGACAUAUGUAAGCAAUUGAUGUCUCUGCUGAACAUAACCAUCAGUUAUCCUUAUUCAAGGCUUUUAACAUGAUACUAUUUUAUCCAAUUACCACCAUUCCAAUAUUGUUGUCUAUUGGCCACUAGCACCCAUCUCCACAGAUUCAUCUAUGCCAAAUUCAUAAAGGGACCAAAUCCCAGCAAUACUCCUUGAACAUGCCUGCCACCAUUCAAUUUCAAUGAUAACUUCCUGUCCAUACAUUUUUUUCAGUUGGGCUGGUAACCUUUACUCAUCUACCAUGAGUAGAGGCAGGCUUGGAGCUACCUUGAAACAGAAUUUUGUUCAGCUGUAUGUAUGUAUUCUGUAUGGCUUUUUAUUUCAUGUAUUCAUUUUAUUUUUAUUUUUAAAUCAUGAAUGUAUUUUCUAUGUAAAAAAAAAGAAAGAAGGAAGGAAAGAAGGAAAAAAGAAAGAAGGAGAGAAAGAAAGAAAGAAAGAAAGAAAGAAAGAAAGAAAGAAAGAAAGAAAGAAAGAAAGAAAGAAAGAAAGAAAAAGUGAAAGUCAUACAACAUAACUGACAGGAAAUAAAGCCACGACAGUCCUUUGCUGGGGAUCCUUCUUUAAUGGCUCUCCAGACAUGUUUAAUGGCUCUUGACAUGUUUGGCAAUAGUGUAGAAGUAGUCAAAGUGGAAUAAAGAAUAGCAGCUGGGGCACAGAAGAAGAAAGGAAAGGAUUCUAUUUCUUGUUAACCAAGUAUCCUCCCAACUAGGAGAAAAAGAAACAAACCAAAUAAACAGAUCACCUAGCAAGGAAAAAGUUCUUUGUUUUUAAAAAUUUUCUGACUUCAGGUGGGGGGGGUGAUGGAUAUUAAGGAGGGCACUUGUGAUGUGCACUAGGUUUUGUAUGUUAAGUGAUGAAUCCUAAAUUCUACAUCUGAGACUAAUAUUGCACUGUAUGUUAACUGGAAUUUAAAUAAAAAUUUGAAAA